UACGGAGGGUGCAAGCGUUACCCGGAAUCACUGGGCGUAAAGGGCGUGUAGGCGGGAAGUUAAGUCUGGAUUUAAAGACCGAAGCUCAACUUCGGGAAUGGUUCGGAUACUGACUUUCUAGACGACUGGAGGGGCGGGUGGAAUUCUCGGUGGAGCGGUGGAAUGCGUAGAUACCGAGAGGAACACCAGUGGCGAAGGCGGCCCGCUGGACAGUUAGUGACGCUGAGGCGCGAAAGUGUGGGGAGCGAACCGG
rnacentral:rRNA from 1 species